AUGCCAUCCAAUGUUGUUAUGUAAUGUUGUUUAUCUAUAUUUCAACAGGACAAUGACCCAACACACCUCAAGGCUAAAGUUUGGACACACCUAGUCAUUCAAGGGUUUUUCUUUAUUUAUUUUACAUUGUAGAAUAAUAGUGAAGACAUCAAAACUAUGAAAUAACACAUAUGGAAUCAUGUGGUAACCAAAAAGAGUUUUAAACAAAUCAAAAUAUAUUUUAGAUUAUUCAAAGCAGCCACCCUUUGCCUUGAUGACAGGUCACAAGUUGAUGUUUUAACACGUUACCUCAUUCAUGACCGGCUGGGAUUGAGCCACGUUCUCCUUCACACUGUAGACAUUGUGAUGGGCUCAUCUUAAUCAGUCUUUCUUUAUUGGAGGAGUUCGUUUUCAUAAGCAGUAUUGCAGACUCUGUGACUGCUGUCUUCCUGUGACUGUGUGAGCCAUGGUGACGUUGAUGUUUUUUCUAAAGGGAUUCAUUAGUGUGUUCAGUACUGCCAAAUUCUCGAUCAACUCUUGAAGGAAUUAUUUUCAAGACAAUUCCCAUGGAGGUCAAAGUUAUUUUCUGGCAACCUUUUCAGUACAAUAUUUUUAUUGAGACAGAUACAAUUUAUAUUCUUCUGAUACAAUAAAAUAUAUUUCUUUGCA